rnacentral:rRNA from 1 species
UACGUAGGGUGCAAGCGUUGUCCGGAAUUUAUUGGGCGUAAAGAGCUCGUAGGCGGUUUGUUGCGUCGGCUGUGAAAUCCCGAGGCUCAACCUCGGGUCUGCAGUCGAUACGAGCAAACUAGAGUGUUGCAGGGGAGACUGGAAUUCCUGGUGUAGCGGUGAAAUGCGCAGAUAUCAGGAGGAACACCGGUGGCGAAGGCGGGUCUCUGGGCAACAACUGACGCU